GACCCGGACGUAGACGGGUCUGCCCCUUCUGUUGUGUGUUCCGACGGUGACGCCGCCACCAUUGCCGCCGACGCUGACGUGGGUGUUGUUAUUGUUGUUGACGUUCACUCCGCCGCCGCCUACUCCGACGGAUGUGCUCUUGUCUUCCAGCCAUUCUGGGCGGAGGAGAUAUGAUAGUGUUAGAGAGAGAGAGUAGAAGAUAUUGUUGAUAUAUGAUAGAAUUGAUUUGCAUGUUACUGAAAUCCAGAGCAAAACUAGUUGACAUUAAUAAAAAUGGAUCAAGAAAUACUAAACAAGAUCAAAUUAAUAAUAAUAAAAAAUCCUCAGUUAUCCACCCAUAUAUACAUAUAUGUAUAUUAACAAAAACCAAAUGCUCUCUCUCUCUAAGUUAUGACUCACAGAGAGAAAUGCAAUGAAGGGCAGAAUCUUGAACUCCAUGAUCCCAAAAUGUGGAAGUUUGCUACUCAAAAUUCAAAAACAAUGAAAAGGGCUUCUUCUUCUACAAAUGAGAUGAUCUGCACACUUAUUUAUAACUCAUAAAUACACACACACUCACAUGUACGGAUAGUUAAUAAAAUGAAAGAAGGCAUAGGUAGUGAUGAAAAGAGAUGCACGUGAACUUUGAUACACCAAAAU
rnacentral:lncRNA from 1 species